GGGGAUGUAGCUCAGAUG
rnacentral:ncRNA from 2 species